rnacentral:rRNA from 1 species
UACGGAAGGGGCAAGCGUUGUUCGGAAUCAUUGGGCGUAAAGGGCGCGUAGGUGGUUCUGUAUGUCUACCGUGAAAGCGUACGGCUCAACUGUAUUUUGUCGGUAGAAACUGCAGGACUUGAGGCUGGGAGGGGCUGGUGGAAUUCCCUGUGUAGCGGUGAAAUGCGUAGAUAUCUGGAGGAACACCGGUGGCGAAGGCGGCAUCCUGGACCGGCAUUGACGCUGAGGCGCGAAAGCCAGGGGAGCAAACGGG